AACAAGAUGCCUGAUAAAAGGGUUACUUUGAUAGAGUAAAUCAUGUAAGACGUCCUUACUCUUGUU
rnacentral:tRNA from 1 species